rnacentral:rRNA from 1 species
GUGGGGAAUAUUGGACAAUGGGGGGAACCCUGAUCCAGCCAUGCCGCGUGUGUGAAGAAGGCCUUUUGGUUGUAAAGCACUUUAAGCGAGGAGGAGGCUACCGAGAUUAAUACUCUUGGAUAGUGGACGUUACUCGCAGAAUAAGCACCGGCUAACUCUGUGCCAGCAGCCGCGGUAAUACAGCGGGUGCAAGCGUUAAUCGGAUUUACUGGGCGCAAAGCGCGCGUAGGUGGCCAAUUAAGUCAAAUGUGAAAUCCCCGAGCUUAACUUGGGAAUUGCAUUCGAUACUGGUUGGCUAGAGUAUGGGAGAGGAUGGUAGAAUUCCAGGUGUAGCGGUGAAAUGCGUAGAGAUCUGGAGGAAUACCGAUGGCGAAGGCAGCCAUCUGGCCUAAUACUGACACUGAGGUGCGAAAGCAUGGGGAGCAAACAGGAUUAGAAACCCCUGUAGUCC